rnacentral:rRNA from 1 species
UGCGUAGGCGGUUAUAUUAGUCGGGUGUAAAAUCCUGGGGCUCAACCUCAGGCUCGCAUUCGAAACGGUAUAACUAGAAGACGUGAGAGGUGAACAGAACUCUCGGUGUAGGGGUGAAAUCCGUUGAUAUCGGGGGGAAUACCAAAUGCGAAGGCAGUUCACUGGCGCGUUCUUGACGCUGAGGCACGAAAGCGUGGGUAGCGAACG